AAGAUGGCUAAUCCUGUUGCCUCCUAGCACCAGUGGAAAACCACUAUCCUGAGGUUUCCUCAUGAAGACCAGUUAUCUGGAGCACAUGUAAUUUUUUAAAAAGCCGUUGGAAGUUGCAGGCAACAGACUUGGUGCUACUAUAAAAAUUGGUCUUCCUAGCUGCCCACACUUUCCAAUCUGAAAAGGCCCAAUGGAUGGAGUUGCCUUUCCUUGGAAUUUAAUUUAAGGACAUGAUGUCAGGGAGAUAGAAGACCACUGGAGAGAUGAUUGUACAGUGCAACACAAGACAUGUUAACAGACUGUAUUAUGCUACACAACUAGAAUCUUAACAAAUCAGUCCUGUGCAGAUACACUGCCUGCAAUCAUGAUUCAACUCUGGAAGAAAUAUCCAUUCGGUU